rnacentral:rRNA from 1 species
UGGGGAAUAUUGGACAAUGGGCGCAAGCCUGAUCCAGCCAUGCCGCGUGGGUGAAGAAGGCCUUAGGGUUGUAAACCCCUUUCACCGGUGACGAUGAUGACGGUAGCCGGAGAAGAAACCCCGGCUAACUCCGUGCCAGCAGCCGCGGUAAUACGGAGGGGGUUAGCGUUGUUCGGAAUUACUGGGCGUAAAGCGCGCGUAGGCGGACUAUUAAGUCAGGGGUGAAAUCCCGGGGCUCAACCCCGGAACUGCCUUUGAUACUGGUAGUCUUGAGUUCGAGAGAGGUGAGUGGAAUUCCGAGUGUAGAGGUGAAAUUCGUAGAUAUUCGGAGGAACACCAGUGGCGAAGGCGGCUCACUGGCUCGAUACUGACGCUGAGGUGCGAAAGUGUGGGGAGCAAACAGGAUUAGAUACCCCCGUAGUCC